CUACUGUCCAAUGAACGCAUAGUGAGGGCA
rnacentral:piRNA from 1 species